GCUGCCUCCCAUACAUUAUAAGCUCGUUAGGUCCGGUUGAAAAUUAAGAUAAUUUUUUCUAAAAAUAUUAUUAAAUUUUUCAAUAAAAUAUAAUAAUUUUUUUAUUUGUUAAAGUAUAACAAAUAUUUCACAUAUUUUUUUAAAAAAUAAAUAUUCAACUAAAUAUAAAUAAUUUUAUAAUAUAUCAAUUUUUUAGUCAAAUAAAUAUAUAAAAAUUAUUUUUCAAACAUCAUUUUUUUAAAAAAAUAUUAUAAUAAUAAUUUUUCCACCAACUAAAUGAAUCCACCAUGUUUCGAAGCAGUCCUGCUUCAAAGCCUCUCUAAUUAGUUGUAACAGCCUGUUCCACUGGAUUCCAGUAACUGAGGUGAAUCCCAUAAACUCAAUUGGUCUUCUUGGAUCAACACUGGAGCCCCAUUCCUUUGCCGGACCAAACUUCGCUUCCGUCUCUACUUUUUCUUUGCUUUUAAAUUUUUAAUCAUGCUCUGCUCUCUGUGAUGUACGAGUCCCACCAACUGCCAUCUGGUUCCCCAUUUUAAAUUAUUAUUUUUGAUCUUCAGAGUAUUUACUUUCAUAUUUCUUUAAUUAAUUAAUUAAAUAUCUUGUAUUGGGUCUAAUACUCUAAUAGUCCCGAACUCCUGAUGAUGAUCAGGUUCCGUGAACCAGCCCGGCCUUAACGGGACAUAAUUAAUUAUUGGGAGCAAAAAUAUAUUAAUAAAUAAAUAAA
rnacentral:lncRNA from 1 species